rnacentral:misc_RNA from 1 species
AAAGUCGUAACAAGGUUUUCGUAGGUGAACCUGCGGAAGGAUCAUUAAUGAAUUGCUUUGGGAGUCCCUCUUUACCAGAGAAGGCCCAAUCCUUUACAUUUACCCACCCACACUUGUGCAUUUGUCCCCUUUUAAUUACCUUUUUAACCCUUGUGCAUUUGAAACGGUUGACGUAGAAAUCAAAUGAUAAAGAAAGUAAAAACUUUCAGCAAUGGAUCUCUUGGCUCUC